UCGCACGAGAACGUUCUGGCUUUGCCAGAACAAGUACAGUGGCGGACGGGUGCGUAUCGCGUAGAUAACCUGCCCUUAGGCGCGGGACAAUCACGGGAAACCGUGGCUAAUACCGCACGUCGUCUGGGCCCCGCAUGGGGACCAGAUGAAAGCUUGGGGUUACCCAGGCGCCUUGGGAUGGGUCUGCGUUGGAUUAGCUUGUUGGUGAGGCAACGGCUCACCAAGGCGACGAUCCAUAGCUGGUCUGAGAGGACGAUCAGCCACACUGGGACUGAGACACGGCCCAGACUCCUACGGGAGGCAGCAGUGGGGAAUCUUGCACAAUGGGGUCACCCCUGAUGCAGCCAUGCCGCGUGGAGGAAGACACCCCUAUGGGGCGUAAACUCCUUUUCUGAAUGAAGAAACCCCUGUAGGUUCAGGGCGCGACGGUAGUUCAGGAAUAAGCACCGGCUAACUCCGUACCAGCAGCCGCGGUAAUACGGAGGGUGCAAGCGUUGUCCGGAAUCACUGGGUGUAAAGGGUGUGCAGGCGGGGCAACAAGUCGGAUGUGAAACCCCAUGGCUCAACCAUGGAGGUGCAUUCGAAACUGUUGCUCUUGAGUCCCGGAGAGGCUGUCGGAAUUCGUGGUGUAGCGGUGAAAUGCGUAGAUAUCACGAGGAACACCAGAGGCGAAAGCGGGCAGCUGGACGGGUACUGACGCUCAGGCACGAAAGCGUGGGGAGCAAACAGGAUUAGAUACCC
rnacentral:rRNA from 1 species